GAUGAACGCUGGCGGCGUGCCUAGCACAUGCAAGUCGAGCGCGUCUGAUUUGAUGCUUGCAUUAAUGAAAGAUGAGCGGCGGACGGGUGAGUAACGCGUGGGUAACCUGCCCUAUACACAUGGAUAACAUACUGAAAAGUUUACUAAUACAUGAUAAUAUAUAUUUACGGCAUCGUAGAUAUAUCAAAGUGUUAGCGGUAUAGGAUGGACCCGCGUCUGAUUAGCUAGUUGGUGAGAUAACUGCCCACCAAGGCGACGAUCAGUAGCCGACCUGAGAGGGUGAUCGGCCACAUUGGAACUGAGACACGGUCCAAACUCCUACUGGAGGCAGCAGUGGGGAAUUUUGCACAAUGGGUGCAAGCCUGAUGCAUCAACGCCGCGGGAACGAUGAAGGUCUUCGGAUCGUGAUGUUCUGUUGCGGGGGAAGAUAAUGACGGUCCCUGUGAGGAAUCCCCGGCUAACUUGGUGCCAGCAUCGGCGGUGAUACGUAGGGGUGCUAUUGUUUCCGGAUUUUCUGGGGCGUAAAGCUAGCUGUAUACUGGUGAUUUGAUUUAUGAUGUUAAUUCCCCUGGCUUGACUUGGUAUGUGUGAUUCUUUACUGUAUAUCUUGAGUGUGUUUGAGGGUGUUUUGAUGUUUGUGUUGUGGUGUAUUGCUAUGUUGCUGUG
rnacentral:rRNA from 1 species